GACGAACGCUGGCGGCGUGCUUAACACAUGCAAGUCGAACGGAAAGGCCCUGCUUUUGUGGGGUGCUCGAGUGGCGAACGGGUGAGUAACACGUGAGUAACCUGCCCUUGACUUUGAGAUAACUUCAGGAAACUGGGGCUAAUACCGGAUAGGAGCUCCUGCUGCAUGGUGGGGGUUGGAAGGUUUCGGCGGUUGGGGAUGGACUCGCGGCUUAUCAGCUUGUUGGUGGGGUAGUGGCUUACCAAGGCUUUGACGGGUAGCCGGCCUGAGAGGGUGACCGGCCACAUUGGGACUGAGAUACGGCCCAGACUCCUACGGGAGGCAGCAGUGGGGAAUAUUGCACAAUGGGCGGAAGCCUGAUGCAGCAACGCCGCGUGCGGGAUGACGGCCUUCGGGUUGUAAACCGCUUUCGCCUGUGACGAAGCGUGAGUGACGGUAAUGGGUAAAGAAGCACCGGCUAACUACGUG
rnacentral:rRNA from 1 species